UUUGAAAAUUAUAGAUUGAUGGAUCAACAAUUCCUCUAUGAGUUCAUGGACAAAAGCUCCUUUCUUAGUGUCUGUAAAUAAAUAAAUAUUGCCAACUCUCUCUUUUUUUCUUUCUUUCAUUUUUUUUUUUUUCAAAAUUUUAUUUGGGAUACUGAGUUUGUGGUUUGCAAUGAUUGAGGGAAGACAGACUCAGGGAGAUUGAAGCUUCAACUUUACCUAUUUUGGCCGGGGACUAAAGUCACUAAACCCAAGGAGAAAAAGCCACCGGCCCCUAAUUUAUCAAACCCUUCUUCAAUAUCUAAGAGGUAGAAAGAUCAAUGACGAAGAAGCUUAAUCAAUAAAUCAAGCUCCUCUAUGCCACAUGUAAUCGGAGCACAAACUCAUGUAUCUAUAUGGAUUGGGUCACAUUCAAAGCGCCAAUGGAGGCAAAACUUUUGUGGGAUUUGAAGUGCAAAGAGCCCAAGAGUAAUUAUAUAUUUUAUUUUGAAUCCAUAGUGUUUGAUAAAA